CCUACGGGUGGCAGCAGUAGGGAAUAUUGCUCAAUGGGGGAAACCCUGAAGCAGCAACGCCGCGUGGAGGAUGAAGGUUUUAGGGUUGGAAACUCCUUUUUUUAGAGAAGAUUAUGACGGUAUCUAACGAAUAAGCACUGGCUAACUCCGUGCCAGCAGCCGCGGUAAUACGGAGGGUGCAAGCGUUACUCGGAAUCACUGGGCGUAAAGAGUGCGUAGGCGGGGUAAUAAGUCAGAUGUGAAAUGCUGUAGCUUAACUACAGAACUGCAUUUGAAACUGUUACUCUGGAGUGUGGGCGAGGUAGGUGGAAUUCUUGGUGUAGGGGUAAAAUGCGUAGAGAUCAAGAGGAAUACUGAUUGCGAAGGCGACCUGCUGGAACAUUACUGACGCUGAUGCACGAAAGCGUGGGGAGCAAACAGGAUUAGAUACCCCUGUAGUC
rnacentral:rRNA from 1 species